ACCGGCAGCUCAAGUGGUGGCCAUUAUUAUUGGGCCUAAAGCGUUCGUAGCCGGUUUGAUAAGUCUCUGGUGAAAUCCCGCAGCUUAACUGUGGGACUUGCUGGAGAUACUAUCAGACUUGAGGUCGGGAGAGGUUAGGGGUACUCCCAGGAUAGGGAUGAAAACGUAUAAUCCUGGGAGGACCACCUGUGGCGAAGGCGCCUUACUGGAACUAAACUGACUGUGAGCGUCUAAAGCCAGGGGCGCGAAUCU
rnacentral:rRNA from 1 species